rnacentral:miRNA from 1 species
UUUCUGUUCUAUUUCGAUCAAAGUGACUUUUUAGUUGAUAUUUUUCAUUUUUAUUUUCUGCUUGUAUUGUAUCAAGCAGAAAAGUCACUUUGUUCGAAAUAGAACAGAA